GUCAGAAUGGCCGAGUGGUCUAAGGCGCUGCGUUAAGGUCGCAGUCUCCAUUGGAGGCGUGGGUUCAAAUCCCACUUCUGACA
rnacentral:tRNA from 1 species